UUUAGCUCCUUAUUGUUCAGUGUCACCAUGCCUGAUAAUGAGAUUGUAAUUGACAAAUUGACAGAUAAUCCUGAGCAAACUGAAAAAAAUAAUUCUCAAGUCACAUAUCAUAACUUCACUGUCUUAUGUAGACAAAGGCAUUUCAGUAAAAACUAUCAGGUGUAUCCAAGUCAUUUAGACAUAUUAAUAUUAAGUUGAGUUCAUAUUUUUCUACAAGUCAUCUUAAAAUGUAAAAUAUUCUUUUGAACUCAUGUUUCAUACCUUUUGUUGUCCAGGCCUUUUCCAUGAUGUCCAUGACAAUCAGCCAUCUGUGCCCAGUUCAAAAGAUCUCAUCAAUAUGUAGAAGUUCUGGUAUCUGGUCUACAACUUCUGCAAAGUUCUGUACAUCUAUUCCAGAAAGCAACUGAAACAAUGCCACUAAAUUUCUACCUCUCCCUGAAACUUUAAGACUCAAUUCCACAAAGAAACUACAACAAAGCCAUUUUUUUUUCUCUUUUCAACUUUAAGGUACAGACUGAAAUUUGGAAGAUACUCCACCGGAUUUAUUUUACCUUGUUACCACAUUAUGUAUUUACUAUAACAAUGCUACCAUUUUACCUAUAGUUUAGUAUUGUGAUAUUUUG